GCUGGGCGUGGUGGCCUGUGCCUGUAAUCCCAGCUACUCAGGAGGCUGAGGCAGGAGAAUCGCUUGAACCCGGGGGGCAGAGGUUGCAGUGAGCCGAGAUCGCGCCACUGCACUCCAGCCUGGGUGACAGAGUGAGACUCUGUCUCAA
rnacentral:SRP_RNA from 2 species